rnacentral:lncRNA from 1 species
UAAAUCUGGAUCUGGAAACUUGAGGCUGUUCGGUCUUCACAGCACCUAAACCGAAUUAAGUGACCUUCCGUUUCCUUUUUCGUUGUGGAGUUUUGGUGAAUACAGAUGCUAAUACGUAUGUAUGUGUAUACGUAUAGAUUUUGGAAAGUAAAUCGCCCACACCUACGCAGGGAGUCAAAGUGGUGGUUCACCGAAUACCGAAAAACGAGUUUGUUGUUGGUAAUUACUCAAAAUGACCACUGUUAGUAAUUUUCCUUAGGUUUAAUUCAUUUCUGUCAAUUAAAUCUUAUUAUGUUUAUGUAUGGUGAUUAUAGGUCGUUGAUCAAGUGGAAUACAAUCUGUUUGAGGAACUUUGGUAAGUAUUUCUUCAUUCUAAACCUGAAUUGGGAUAUUAAAAGCUUAUGCAUAUGUAUUCUUAAAUUUGUGUGUU